AUGUCUAUGCAAUUUCAAGAUGAUGCAGAUGGUAUACCUCCUUCUGAGGCUGAAAGUAGGAAUGAAAGGCCCCAAAGGAUAAAGCACCCUUCAGCCAAGAUGCUAGCCCAUCUAAUAGAUGAAAAGGAGCUCCUCCAUGUGAGGUUAGGUUCGGCAUGGGAGCGAAUUGUAACAUUAAUGGACAGAAUUGAGAGCUUGGGUAUUACAAGGGUGCCAUCCAUAUUACAGACAGACCUUGAAGAGACCUUCGGUAUUUGGAGGGGUUUGGUGUCUAAGAUAGUCCAGGUCCUCGAGCGCAUUAACGCCAAGGAUUCAGAGUUAGAAAUAGUGAGUGUCUUAGCUGACACUAAUGAGAAAGAAAAUAAGGUGAGGGCAAUUCUAGAUGCCUUGGAAUUUAGUUCUCCAUCUGUUAAUCUAAGGUCUGAGCCAAAAGGAAAUCAGUCUCCCUUAUGCAGCCAUGAGACCAAUCUUUUAAAAUCACCUGCUGUGGCACUUAGUCUUAAGUCCAACCGCUCUAGCCAGGUAUCUAAACUAAGGGAGUGUGCAUCAUCUAAACAUAGCCACUCUAGCAAGUCUUCUGCUGCUGGGAGUGCCAUCUCUUCCCUAGCUGCCUUGCACAUUAAGGAGGCUGCACGUCUAGAGCUAAAGAGCAAGGUAGCGGGGGCAGAGGCUGAUGCUAAGGCAGCUGAUCUCACCCUUCCCUUUAAAGAAGAAGAGCAACGACUGCAAAUAGAACAGGCCCGUAGACAAAGCGAAAUGCAAAUAGAACAGGCCCGUAGACAAAGCGAAAUGCAAAUGGAACAGGCCCAAAGGCAAGGUGAAAUAGAAAUGCUUAGAAUAAGGAUGGAUGCUACUGCCAAAAAGGUAAGGGCUGAGACUUUGGCCAAGGCCCUAAUUGAGCCACUCACAGAAGAAAAUGUAAGUCAGUUGCCGAAGCAGGACCCUUCUUCCAAGGUGCUUGUGCAUCUUAAUAGCUUAAACAGCCAGUUUUCGGAUGAGGAACAGGAAGACUUCUCUCCUUACCCAGAGCAGGGCCCCAAAGUCACUUUUGAGUUUCCUGCAGAGCAGAGCGUCAUAGCGGGGAGCUCACCCUUGCCCGAGCUACCUGUGCCUCCUGCUAAAUCCCUAGGUCAGUCAAUCAGGGCCUCAAGGCCAAGUGCUAGUUGGCCCCUACAGACAGCUGCACAGGGAACCAUCGAUUCGUCAGUGGUCGAUGUCAUCCCUCCAAGAGACCAAAGGUUGACGCAAGGUACACGGUGGGAGUCCACUCCACAACAGCAAACUCCUCAAUUGUUCCCUUCGACGCCAGAGUCCCAGCUUGUUUCCAUCAUCAGAAGCCCCAGAAGAGAUCUUAAGGACAAGGGUGUCGAAAAGUUUUCGGACAAGCCUGAGGAAUUUCUUCUCUGGAAGGCCACCUUCCAGAGAGCAAUCAGAGACUUAAAGUUAUUGCCUGAGGAAGAACUGACUCUUCUGGCUGCAUGGUUGGGCCCAGCCUCAUCCUCACAAGUUAAGAAGAUCUACGCAGCCCACGUAGCCGAUCCCGACAAAGCCCUGGAAAAGGCCUGGGCCAGGUUGCAGCAGAGGUAUGGGGCCAGCACAGAGAUUGAAGCAUCUCUUAUGGACAAGCUCCAAAGGUUCCCAGCUUUAAAACUCAAAGACUUCAAACUCUUGUGGGACCUUAGCGAUCUCCUUACGGAAUUAGAGUCGGCCAAGGAGAAUCCAGAACUGCCCGGUUUGAAGUGCCUCGAUCAGCACCUGUCCCAGAGGCAGAUCUUGACCAAGCUGCCCUUCACUUUGCAAGAACGCUGGGGACAGGAGGUCUUCAACUACAAGGAGGCCCACUCCCAGGCAUACCCUCCAUUUUCUCAUUUGGUCCAGUUCAUCACCAGGGCGGCCAGAGAAAGGAAUGAUCCGCAGACGGGCCUCCCCACCUUAUACCAAGGGACCCAUCCAGGGAAGGCAUCUGAAGUGGACAAGAAACCACCUAGAGAGGCCAAUAGACCUGUCAGCGUAAAGGCAGUCGAAACUCAACACAAGACUGAUGAACCCAGGUCGGAGGUAAAAGAGUUGCUUUGCCCUAUCCACCAAAAGCCUCACAGCUUGGCCAACUGCAGGGAGUUUAGUAGAAAGUCAUACAAAGAAAGGCAACAGCUAGUUCAAAAGCAGGGAAUCUGCUUUAGAUGCUGUGGAGCAACUCCACACUUUGCGUCCAACUGCAAAGAAAACGUCAAGUGUGAGAAAUGCAACAGCCUCAAGCAUUGCACCGCAAUGCACAACUCCAGUGUCAUCUCCCACCCAAAGGGAACGUUUCACCAAAAGAAAAGUCAGCAGUCGAAGACACCGACAAGCCAGUCGUACCAGAGAUGCAGGUGGAGGUUUCAGCAGUCGCCUGUACAGAGCUGUGUUCUGACUCGCACCAGUACAGAGUUUGUCAUCCUAUCUGCCUAG
rnacentral:lncRNA from 1 species